rnacentral:rRNA from 1 species
UACGGAGGAUGCAAGCGUUAUCCGGAAUGAUUGGGCGUAAAGCGUCCGCAGGUGGCUGUGUAAGUCUGCUGUCAAAGAGCGAAGCUCAACUUCGUAAAGGCAGUGGAAACUACACGGCUAGAGUGCGUUCGGGGCAGAGGGAAUUCCUGGUGUAGCGGUGAAAUGCGUAGAGAUCAGGAGGAACACCCCGUGGCGAAGGCGGCUCUCUGGGCCGGCCCCUGACGCUGAGGGCGCGAAAGCGUGGGGGAGCGAACGGG